CUGCGGCAGCAACACUGUGUGUUGUUGGGUAGGGGAGCGUUCUGUAAGCCUGUGAAGGUGUGCUGUGAGGCAUGCUGGAGGUAUCAGAAGUGCGAAUGCUGACAUAAGUAACGAUAAAGCGGGUGAAAAGCCCGCUCGCCGGAAGACCAAGGGUUCCUGUCCAACGUUAAUCGGGGCAGGGUGAGUCGACCCCUAAGGCGAGGCCGAAAGGCGUAGUCGAUGGGAAACAGGUUAAUAUUCCUGUACUUGGUGUUACUGCGAAGGGGGGACGGAGAAGGCUAUGUUGGCCGGGCGACGGUUGUCCCGGUUUAAGCGUGUAGGCUGGUUUUCCAGGCAAAUCCGGAAAAUCAAGGCUGAGGCGUGAUGACGAGGCACUACGGUGCUGAAGCAACAAAUGCCCUGCUUCCAGGAAAAGCCUCUAAGCAUCAGGUAACAUCAAAUCGUACCCCAAACCGACACAGGUGGUCAGGUAGAGAAUACCAAGGCGCUUGAGAGAACUCGGGUGAAGGAACUAGGCAAAAUGGUGCCGUAACUUCGGGAGAAGGCACGCUGAUAUGUAGGUGAAGUCCCUCGCGGAUGGAGCUGAAAUCAGUCGAAGAUACCAGCUGGCUGCAACUGUUUAUUAAAAACACAGCACUGUGCAAACACGAAAGUGGACGUAUACGGUGUGACGCCUGCCCGGUGCCGGAAGGUUAAUUGAUGGGGUCAGCGCAAGCGAAGCUCUUGAUCGAAGCCCCGGUAAACGGCGGCCGUAACUAUAACGGUCCUAAGGUAGCGAAAUUCCUUGUCGGGUAAGUUCCGACCUGCACGAAUGGCGUAAUGAUGGCCAGGCUGUCUCCACCCGAGACUCAGUGAAAUUGAACUCGCUGUGAAGAUGCAGUGUACCCGCGGCAAGACGGAAAGACCCCGUGAACCUUUACUAUAGCUUGACACUGAACAUUGAGCCUUGAUGUGUAGGAUAGGUGGGAGGCUUUGAAGUGUGGACGCCAGUCUGCAUGGAGCCGACCUUGAAAUACCACCCUUUAAUGUUUGAUGUUCUAACGUGGACCCGUGAUCCGGGUUGCGGACAGUGUCUGGUGGGUAGUUUGACUGGGGCGGUCUCCUCCUAAAGAGUAACGGAGGAGCACGAAGGUUGGCUAAUCCUGGUCGGACAUCAGGAGGUUAGUGCAAUGGCAUAAGCCAGCUUGACUGCGAGCGUGACGGCGCGAGCAGGUGCGAAAGCAGGUCAUAGUGAUCCGGUGGUUCUGAAUGGAAGGGCCAUCGCUCAACGGAUAAAAGGUACUCCGGGGAUAACAGGCUGAUACCGCCCAAGAGUUCAUAUCGACGGCGGUGUUUGGCACCUCGAUGUCGGCUCAUCACAUCCUGGGGCUGAAGUAGGUCCCAAGGGUAUGGCUGUUCGCCAUUUAAAGUGGUACGCGAGCUGGGUUUAGAACGUCGUGAGACAGUUCGGUCCCUAUCUGCCGUGGGCGCUGGAGAACUGAGGGGGGCUGCUCCUAGUACGAGAGGACCGGAGUGGACGCAUCACUGGUGUUCGGGUUGUCAUGCCAAUGGCACUGCCCGGUAGCUAAAUGCGGAAGAGAUAAGUGCUGAAAGCAUCUAAGCACGAAACUUGCCCCGAGAUGAGUUCUCCCUGACCCUUUAAGGGUCCUGAAGGAACGUUGAAGACGACGACGUUGAUAGGCCGGGUGUGUAAGCGCAGCGAUGCGUUGAGCUAACCGGUACUAAUGAACCGUGAGGCUUAACCUUACAACGCCGAAGGUGUUU
rnacentral:rRNA from 1 species